GAUGAACGCUAGCUACAGGCUUAACACAUGCAAGUCGAGGGGCAGCAUGGUCUUAGCUUGCUAAGGCUGAUGGCGACCGGCGCACGGGUGAGUAACACGUAUCCAACCUGCCGUCUACUCUUGGCCAGCCUUCUGAAAGGAAGAUUAAUCCAGGAUGGGAUCAUGAGUUCACAUGUCCGCAUGAUUAAAGGUAUUUUCCGGUAGACGAUGGGGAUGCGUUCCAUUAGAUAGUAGGCGGGGUAACGGCCCACCUAGUCAACGAUGGAUAGGGGUUCUGAGAGGAAGGUCCCCCACAUUGGAACUGAGACACGGUCCAAACUCCUACGGGAGGCAGCAGUGAGGAAUAUUGGUCAAUGGGCGAUGGCCUGAACCAGCCAAGUAGCGUGAAGGAUGACUGCCCUAUGGGUUGUAAACUUCUUUUAUAAAGGAAUAAAGUCGGGUAUGCAUACCCGUUUGCAUGUACUUUAUGAAUAAGGAUCGGCUAACUCCGUGCCAGCAGCCGCGGUAAUACGGAGGAUCCGAGCGUUAUCCGGAUUUAUUGGGUUUAAAGGGAGCGUAGAUGGAUGUUUAAGUCAGUUGUGAAAGUUUGCGGCUCAACCGUAAAAUUGCAGUUGAUACUGGAUGUCUUGAGUGCAGUUGAGGCAGGCGGAAUUCGUGGUGUAGCGGUGAAAUGCUUAGAUAUCACGAAGAACUCCGAUUGCGAAGGCA
rnacentral:rRNA from 1 species